rnacentral:rRNA from 1 species
GCCUAGUCGUAAACAAUUAACUCACACCAACCAACGCCAGGGAAUUACGAGCUAUGCUUAAAACCCAAAGGACUUGACGGUGUCCCACCCACCUAGAGGAGCCUGUUCUAUAAUCGAUGAUCCCCGAUACACCUAACCAUUCCUCGCCCAUCAGUCUGUAUACCUCCGUCGAAAGCCUACCAUGUGAACGCUUACAGUAGGCCCAAUGAUCCUCAUCAACACGUCAGGUCAAGGUGCAGCUUACGGAAUGGAAAGCAAUGGGCUACAAUUUCUAGUUUAGAACAAACGAAAGACUCUGUGAAACCUUAGUCACGAAGGCGGAUUUAGUAGUAAAAGGAAAAUAGAGUGUUCCUUUUAACCUGGCUCUGGGACGCGUACACACCGCCCGUCACCCUCUUCGAUAGCACUUCACCCAGGUAUUUAACCCAAUACCGCAUCUUAGAAGAGGCAAGUCGUAACACGGUAAGUGUACUGGAAAGUGCACUUGGUCUACAA